rnacentral:rRNA from 2 species
UGUUGCGAUCAUACCAGCACUAAUGCACCGGAUCCCAUCAGAACUCCGCAGUUAAGCGUGCUUGGGUGGAAGUAGUACUAGGAUGGGUGACCCCCUGGGAGACGGCCACUCGGAUGCUACGC